UUAUAGAGCAUAACAAAUUUGUUGCAUAUAACCUGUUAAGAACAUUGGAUGUGUAACAUAGAAGCAUUAGAAUUAACGGCUACGAUAAAUUUCUUACGAUUGAUGCCCUAUAAUUUUUCAUAUAUUUUGGGGCCUAAAGUAUCAGCUUCAUGCCCAGGGGCCGGCUCUUGCGUAGAGACAGUCUGAGUAUUUUGUUGCUCUAUAACGAGUAUUCCAAUGGUAAUGCCUGCGUUUGAAUCUGGUGCAGGGCUUGGCAAAUAGACGUAUUGGUGCAACAAUUGUAAAUGCAAGUACUGCUGAUGGUUUAAAGCAGCUUCAAAACAAGUAGAACAAAUGUUGUUGACCUUGCUGUUUCCGAAAGACAAAAAUCAACUGGCGCAGGCAAGGAAGGAAGCUCGGAAUUAUCAAUAGAUCACUUGCUCAACUCGGGGAAGCAAAGGCAUAAGAGAUUCCAGGCUGACAUUUCUACAGCACGAGUCUCUUGGUGGGAAUGCAAAAUUAGCUAUGGUUUGUGCAGUUUCUCCCUCUCAAAGUUGUAGAAGUCAAACUUUCAGCAUCGUAGAGAUUUGCUCAGCGUGCAAAGGCGAUACAGAACAAGAUAUCCAAGGCAUUCGAUGACGACCGUGGCUAAUGCUCGGGAUAGAGACUUGGGUAAAGCUGAGCGCAGUUUUCAUGUCAUCGAUGUUUUAAGAGGCGAAAACGCACCAACUGCUGAAGCCAAAACGGGUACCUAGCUCGCUGAAAUGUUAAUGUUCGGUAUUAAGCUAGAUGACUUAUUAGAAAAAAAAAAUUAAAAGAUCUAAAUCACCAAAAUAAAGCGAAACAUAGUCUCAUUCAAACCAUCUCAGUAAUUGUAUUAUGAAAUUUAGAUAACUGCAACGAAAUUGAAUCCACGCCAUGUGCCACAAAAUCGCGUGGUUAUAUCAUUAUCGUAUGAACCGUAAACCACAAGUCCAUUCACAUCAUUUGAUCAUAUAGGCUCCAUGCCUAGAGAAUUAAGAGAUUCUGAUCUUUCUUUUGGCCACAUGCCUUUGCGAGUUUGCGAUGAAGCAUCUUCUUCAAUCGUGUGAAGCGAUCAAGGUGAUGAUGGCAGCCCAUGUAAUCUCGAAGAAACGACAUAACGCUCCCUAAGCUAUAAGUAAACUUGUUCUGAAAGUACAAUCAGAUCAUCCGAAAAGCACAAUUUAUCUCUAAAUUUCAAACAUAAAUUUGGAAGAUAAAGGACAAAUUGUUGGAAAUAUUUAAGUCAGAAAAAAAAUCAUCAUGCCUAAGUGACAAUGCCAACUUUCUUCUCUCGCUAUCGUCUUAUGGCUUCCGGGUUGCCGGUUGCGUUUUCAUCAUGCCUCUGAGGCAAAACAAAAGAAAAACUUAAGAUGUACAUAGAUUUCGACCAUAAUAACUAUCUAUAAAAUAAACUCUUAAACUUUAGAAGAGGGGCAUUAACUAUUAUUCAAUUUCGACUUACUCCAAAAAGAAAAAAAAAAUCUAUCGACAUCAUGUAUUAA